rnacentral:rRNA from 1 species
CAGUCGCCGCGGUAACACGGAGGGAGCUAGCGUUGUUCGGAAUUACUGGGCGUAAAGCGCGCGUAGGCGGUUACUCAAGUCAGAGGUGAAAGCCCGGGGCUCAACCCCGGAACUGUCUUUGAAACUAGGUGACUAGAAUCUUGGAGAGGUCAGUGGAAUUCCGAGUGUAGAGGUGAAAUUCGUAGAUAUUCGGAAGAACACCAGUGGCGAAGGCGACUGACUGGACAAGUAUUGACGCUGAGGUGCGAAAGCGUGGGGAGCAAACAGGAUUAGAUACCCCAGUAGUCCCUGUCUCUUAUAC